CCGCCCCAAACACCCUUGCACGCACUCGACCAGCACGCACGCACCGCUCACGGACUCCCCCGCUCGGCUCCUCACGCACGCACGCACACGCUGCGCCGCCGAGCUCCACACGCAUGCCCGCCCCGCCGCCGCAGCAGCUCUGCACCCAUGCCGUCCACAGCAGCAGCUCCGCACCCAUGCCGUCCGCAGCAGCAGGUCCGCACCCAUGACGUCCGCCGCAACCAGGUCGGCAACCUCUAGAUCCGCGCCCCUGCCAGCCGCCGCCACUUAUUCGGCGCCCUCCGUCUCCAGCCCGCGACGGUCGCGCCCCCUCCCCAGCCCGCCGACGGCCGCGCCCUCCUCUCCCCAUGGGGAUUUGGAUUGACGGCGGUGGGAUCUCGGGAUCUCGAUCCCGGCACAAAGAACUUCGAUUUAGGUAAUGGGGAUUUGGAUUUACAGCAGUAGGAUCUCGGGAUCUCGAUUCCGGCAUGAAAAACCUCGAUUUAGGUAAUGGCGAUUUGAAUUGGGGCACUAAGAAACUGGGGUUUGGCUGAUGGGAUCUUGCCAUUGGGGAACUCGGAUGAUGUUCAAUCCGGUGUUUAUAGUCGGUGUGGAUUAGGCCUCGUGCGUGUAUGGUGUAGGAGGAGGGCGUCUCGUCAUGUGAUUUUAUUUACUACUUGUUUAGUAUAUAUUAUGUUUCACAUAUUUAGAGAUUGGAAUCAUAAAGUUAGUUCUUUCAUGAUUACAGUUCCCUCUAGUUCGUGUAACUAAUCUGUCAAUUAGUCAAUUAGCCUAGUUCCUAAUUACACACUCUUUUUUAUGUUUUAUGUCAGGCCCUUGAGCAGGUUACUCUGUUGCUCUGAAUUUUAGUUGUGUAUUCUGGUGCCGCGCUCCCCAUGGAGUGUGUGCUUAUUUUUUUUAUUUUACCUUCUUAAUAAAUGUACCAGAUUUGAACUUUAAAUUUUAUUAAAUGAAUUAAUAGUAUUAAAAUUUAAUUUAUGGCAAGGUUUACUACACUUAGUAUGUUGGAGCUUUUUAGAGCACGUUGGAGUUAGUCCUUACAUUUAAAAUGAAAAGCUGAACUUAGAGAUUAUCCAUUGAUGAUAUAUGAGGAUUUUGAAGUUGAACUAAGUUCUCAUGAUUAAUAUUCACAGCAAAAGCAUAAUCAGAAGUUGAAACAGUUCCUCAAAAUUUCAUUACAAGGAUAUUAUAUCGAGAUUUCUAGUCAACGCUCAAGGAUACGAUUGCAACACACGUGCCCAUGAAGAGUAGCGGCAAGGCAGGAAUCAUAAAUUAUCUAACCUGAAAUUUAUCACUUCCAUAGACAUUGUUUUAAUUUUAUAUGAAUUUUAUAAUUUAACAGCUGUUUUUGUCAUUUUCAGAAAAACAGAAAAGCUAAUAGACAUACUUGCAAUAAGCUUGGUUGUUUGGUGCAGAUUUCGUAUAGUAAGAGAUUGGUUAAGAGAAGAUGAGAUCAACAGGUGCGUUACCAUAGCAAGUGUUCAAUUACAAGAAGAUAAAAAUCUUGUAUUUUAAUUCUAAAAAUAAUGCCUGCACUGCUUCGACACGCCGGGAUCACAAGCUGGGGCGUCCCAAUCCUCGCCGGCAUCGCACACUGGACCGUCACCGUGAGCCAUCUUCGGAGUCGUUUUUAUGUAUUGAACUUGUGAACUUCGAAUAAUGUGUACUUUUGAAUGUGUGGUUUGUAAUAUAUUGUGAAUUUCGUACAAAUUUGGUCGUUUGUGAUAUAUAAAUAUAUAUAAAUAUGGUUUGUGAUA